GCGGGUGUAGUGUAGUGGUUUAUCACGUGCGCUUCCCAAGCGUAAGGUCCGGGGUUCGAACCCCCGUUCCCGCA